GGAGAGAUGGCUCAGUGGUUAAGAGCACUGGAAGAGCACUUCCAGAGGACAUGGGUUCAAUUCCCAACACCA
rnacentral:tRNA from 1 species